rnacentral:rRNA from 1 species
GACGUAGGAGGCGAGCGUUAUCCGGAUUCACUGGGCGUAAAGCGCAUGUAGGCGGAUGCACAAGUCCGUUGUUAAAGCCCCUGGCUCAACUGGGGGAGGUCAAUGGAGACUGUGCGACUUGAGGGCAGUAGAGGCACGUGGAACUCCCGGUGUAGCGGUGAAAUGCGUAGAUAUCGGGAGGAACACCUGUGGCGAAGGCGGCCCCCUGGUUGGAUACUGACGCUGAGACGCGAAAGCGUGGGGAGCAAACAGG